UACAAGAAUUGGACUCAUAGGAAGUCCUGGACACUUGACUUACUAGCCCAUUUAUUAGUGUUACAACUCUGAUACAUCUAGACCAAGGACCUAAGUCUCUUUAGUGACCCAGAGAACUUAGAAGGAAAACUGUAGCUUUGAUAAAGGGUGGAUGGACUGGAUUAAAGAAUGGAGACUUUCUACAACCUAGUGGAGAAAGAAGGAGUUGGUCCAGAAAUUGUCUAGGCCUCUGGUCCUCUUUGAGGUGUUAGCAGUAAAAGAUACCAAGAAAAUGAAGAACUAGAAUAUGGAAUACUGUCACAUGGAACUAAUAUAAGAAAUACAACUAAAGACAAACUUAAAUGAAGAAAUUUUGUAUGCUGUCAACCACAGAAUUAGAGAAAUGACAGAUGAAUACCCUGAUUGUCAAACCACUUUCCGUACAAAAAUAAACUUCUGAACUUUGGUAUUUUACUUAAUAGAAAAUUUUUCUUUUUUGAAAAAGUUUUUAGUAUGUAUUAAGAUCUGAUGAAUGACCUCAGCCAUUCAUCAGAUCUUAAUGCACAUGAAAAAAAACAACAAGCUCAUCGCAAACUUUGAGACUCUGAAAAAAUAAUUGUAUAAGUAGAAUGACAUUUAAAAU